GCGAGUUUAAUGACAGGAGCAUAGGAAUGUGAUCAGAAAAAAAUAAGCAACACACACAAAAUGCUGGAGGAACUCAGCAGGCCAGGCAGAGUUCUAUUGAAAAGAGUACAGUCAACAUUUUGCGCCAAAACCCUUCGGCAGAACUGGAGAACAAAAGCUGAGGCGUAGAUUUGAAAGGAAUGUGUAAAACAGAGCGAGUAGGACUAGUGAUAGAGAGAGCACAGAAAAUCAGAGAGAGGGCAUUCUGAUGGGAGGCCGAGUUGCUAGCUCGACACUCAACCCAGCACAGAUGGAAAACGUGCAAGGAGCUGGCUGGUUUCGAACCCAGGACCACCCAAAGUCCGGUAUGGAUACCACUACACCACCAGCCGGUUAAGUCUCUGGUAGUCCAUUUGAUUUAUUUUCAAAUAAAUCUAGUUUUCCAUCUUUAAUUACCUGGCAGAUAGUGUCCUCUGCCAUCUGUCAGAGAGCUGUCUCAUGCAACACACACUGAAUACUGGAGGAUCUGUGGGUCAGGCAGCAUCUCGGGAGGGAAACGUCGACAGGCAACAGGAUCAGGACCCAUUGACUGACUCAGCAGAUCAGGCAGCAUCUAUGGAUAGAAAUAAACA